GUGGGUAAUCUACCCUCAAAUUGGGGAUAACCCGGGGAGAGUAAUACCGAAUGACAUCUUGAAAUCUUAUGUUUUCAGGAUCAAAGGUGGCCUCUACAUGUAAGCUAUUGUUUGGGGAUGAGCCCGCGUACCAUUAGCUUGUUGGUAGGGUAAUGGCCUACCAAGGCUACGAUGGUUAGCUGGUCUGAGAGGAUGAUCAGCCACACUGGAACUGACACACGGUCCAGACUCCUACGGGAGGCAGCAGUGAGGAAUUUUGCGCAAUGGGGGAAACCCUGACGCAGCAACCCGCGUGAGUGAUGAAGGCUUUCGGGUCGUAAAGCUCUGUCAAGUGGGAAGAACCCAUAUGGUGAUAAUACUGCCAUAUGCUGACGGUACCACUGAAGGAAGCACCGGCUAACUCCGUGCCAGCAGCCGCGGUAAUACGGGGGGUGCGAGCGUUAUUCGGAAUUACUGGGCGUAAAGAGCGCGUAGGGGUCUUUUAAGUCAGGUGUGAAAGCCCGGGGCUCAACCCCGAAGUGCACUUGAAACUAAAAGACUUGAGUAUGGGAGAGGGAAGUGGAAUUCCUGGUGUAGCGGUGAAAUGCGUAGAUAUCAGGAGGAACAUCAGUGGCGAAGGGACUUCCUGGACCAAUACUGACGCUGAGGCGCGAAGGGUGGGGAGCAAACAGGAUUAGAUACCCUGGUAGUCCACGCAGUAAACGGUGAACACUAGGUGUAGCGGGUAUUGACCCCUGCUGUGCCGCAGCAAACGCAUUAAGUGUUCCGCCUGGGGAGUACGGCCGCAAGUAAAACUCAAAGGAAUUGACGGGGGCCCGCACAAGCGUGGAGCAUGUGGUUUAAUUCGACGCAA
rnacentral:rRNA from 1 species